AGGUGUGACUCGUGAGGUGUAUUUGAUGGCUCUGGGCCCCAGCAAGGCUUUCCUCAGACAAGCCUGUGCCUGUCUGUUCCUGCAGUGGCUGAAAUGCAGCCUUAUCCUGAAGGAAAUGGUGGCGAGAGGUGGCUGCUGGCUGGAGAAGGGGACAAUAAGAAGUUCUCCUGUCCUAACUUUUUCUGGAGCUUAAAAAGACCUUCUUCUUGUUUCAGAGAUAAGAAAGCUUCAGCCCUUGGGUGCCCCUGUUUCUUCAGGGCCGAUCAGCAUCUGCUUCGUGACUGCGCUGUGCAGGACCUGGUGCUCCUCUGCGGGUGGCUGCUGGAAACACUGCAGUGCGCUGGCAGGACCUCCUUUUGGAUACAAAGCUUUAAUACCCACUGGCUUCUUAUACAGGAUGGUUAUGUCCCAUAAUUAUAUCAUAGGUUUGUAAUUCAGUCAUUUUCUAGGAAACUUCUGUUUGAUUUCUUUCAGGCAGAAGUAGGAUCUGAACCUUCUCCCGUUUUUUCCCCAAGGACUCUGUUCAUGGGAGUGUUGUAUACUAACUGUGAUGCAUCACCUUCACCAGAAAGAUUUUGUGCUGGUCAGUUGAAAAGUUUUUAAGGGGACAAGCUUCAUACCUCAGAACAUCCCUCUUUGCAUCCUAGAGUAAGGUAUGCAGACCCAUUGCUGCUGGCUCCCUAUGAGCUGCCUCAUUCUGAAGCAUAUUUUGACUGGUAUGGAUCCCAUGACUGGUAUGGUUCUGUGUACAUGUUGUAGGGGGAGAAUAGGUGUUAGACUGAUGUUUCCACAUGCCAGUUUGGAAGCUAAAAGUCCAAAAAUUAGGUUCUGCAAUGUGAUAGGCUAAGAAUUAGAAAUAGUACAUCCAAUGAAGCAAAUGCAGAAAAGAAUAAUGCCAUUACAGUAAGUUGAAUUUUCUAGUGGUUAUAGCAUUGACAUAAUUGUGUAGGAUCCUGUGUGAUGGUGACAUUUGCGUAUCCUCUAAAGGAUAACUGUUCAGUGCUAAACAUCUUUGAGAACACCUGCUGCAUUAAAAAUACUGAGUAAAAUACCAAAGCUUGAGUGGAGCCAGAAUUUCUCCUGUUACACAACAGAGAAGAAAACUGUAGUUACAGAUUGAAGAUGUCCUUGCCACAAUUUGCUUUCUUCUGGGUUUUGGAAGGAGUAAGGGGAGAAAAAAGGGAAGUGAAGGAAAGGGAGACUCACGGUGUUGGCAGAAGAAACAGAUGCUGGCAGAAGAAAUGGAUGAAGAAGCAGAGUGUGGUUUAUCACACCUGAACACAGGAAGAAUUAGGCUGAGGCUCAUCUGUUUCUCUUUGGUUUGGAG
rnacentral:lncRNA from 1 species